UAUAGCCUGCCGUAUACGUUAAGAUGGAUUAAGUAUUGAGCCAACAUCAAUACAAAGGGAGUCCGGUCUCCUGAAGUGGAUUGCAGGCCUACACAAUUGUAGUAGGAAGCGUGAAUCUUUAGGGAGGACACCCACCUGCUGAGAGCAGGUUCAAUCUAUCCAUCAACCGAUACGGUGGGUUUUUU
rnacentral:other from 1 species